rfam:Felis catus isolate Cinnamon breed Abyssinian chromosome E2, whole genome shotgun sequence.
ACCUGGGUGGCUCAGUCGUUAAGCAUCUGAUUUCGGCUCAGGUCAUGAUCUCACAGUUUGUGAGUUCGAGUCUCACAUUGGGUG